UACGUAGGGGGCAAGCGUUGUCCGGAAUCAUUGGGCGUAAAGAGCGUGUAGGCGGCCCGAUAAGUCCGCCGUGAAAGUCCAGGGCUCAACCCUGGAAUGCCGGUGGAAACUGUAGGGCUCGAGUCCGGAAGAGGCGAGUGGAAUUCCUGGUGUAGCGGUGAAAUGCGCAGAUAUCAGGAGGAACACCAAUGGCGAAGGCAGCUCGCUGGGACGGUACUGACGCUGAGACGCGAAAGCGUGGGGAGCAAACAGG
rnacentral:rRNA from 1 species